CCUACGGGAGGCUGCAGUGGGGAAUUUUGGACAAUGGGGGCAACCCUGAUCCAGCCAUGCCGCGUGCGGGAAGAAGGCCUUCGGGUUGUAAACCGCUUUUGUCCGGAAAGCGGUACCGGAAGAAUAAGCACCGGCUAACUACGUGCCAGCAGCCGCGGUAAUACGUAGGGUGCGAGCGUUAAUCGGAAUUACUGGGCGUAAAGCGUGCGCAGGCGGUCCGCAAAGUCUGAUGUGAAAGCCCCGGGCUCAACCUGGGAACUGCAUUGGAAACUAACGGGCUCGAGUGUGGCAGAGGGGGGUGGAAUUCCACGUGUAGCAGUGAAAUGCGUAGAGAUGUGGAGGAACACCGAUGGCGAAGGCAGCCCCCUGGGCUAAACUGACGCUCAGGCACGAAAGCGUGGGGAGCAAACAGGAUUAGAUACCCUUGUAGUC
rnacentral:rRNA from 1 species